CGCCGGGUCCCACGCGGCAGGAGCCUCCGAACCCCGCCAGGCCCGGAAGGGAGCAACGGUAAGGAGGAUGUCCUGGGUGACGUGGGGUAGCCUGGCGGCG
rnacentral:SRP_RNA from 1 species